AGACAAGCUCGCCAGUCAUCACACAGGCUCUGUUGGAGCAGGUUGAGAGUCUUUGCGUGGUUUUUCCAGUGUCGGUGUUUUGUGACGAAUUGUUUUGACUGAUUUCCGGAGAGCUAUGACUGACUUGACGUAAUGGAGCUGCAUCCUGAAAGACGGUUCCCUUUUGAUGCUCCUGCUGCCUGCACACAACUGUACACCACCGAGCUAAAAGGAAGUACUACCAAGUGUUUGAUGGAAUUUUAUUAGUUACUAAUAGGGAAGAUAUCUUUGCAAUGGUGGAGCAAUUUCCUAGUGUCAUAUGAUAUUUACGCCGUGGUUUUGCUACAAGUAGUUGUGAAUGAAUAUAGUGACUUUUCAAAACUUUCAUAUAUUUUGCAGAUGUGGACCGUCAGCGGGAGAUGGAGACUGAAGAGGCCGCGGACGACGGUGACAACGUCCUUCUACUUACUUUAAUGAAUGAACACAGUGUGUGUCAGACUCGUGGAUUGAUAGUGUUAUCGAUUAAUGAGCAGCAAUGUAUAAAGUCCUGGACUUCCCAA